GCGGUUCGACGGCCUAUACCUUUAGAGGGAUCAUUCCCGGCCCAAGUAGUUCAACGGUCACGUCUUCUCAUCUUUUUGGAUGAGCGACUCAAGGGGCUUUUUAAAACCUUUGAAGGUAGUUAAGUUCGUGAAGGAAUACGAGUGGAUACGUUGCUGCUGUAGUCUGAUUGUAGUCUUUGUGUUAAAGCCAUAACGGUGUUUCAUAUUGCAAAAAAUUAUACCACGAAGAAGAUAUCUUUUAGGAAUUACCUUGUAAUUUCAUUGUAAUUCUUAAUCACAGGAAUUACCUUGUAAUCUCUAGGAUUUAUCGUCAUUGUAUCUGUAAUGAUUCUCGUGUUUGAAUAAAGUUACAAUUCAUUUUAAAAAGAAGAGCCGUAGGACCAUGUCUUCUCAAAAAUAAAAAAAAUGUAAGACCCCGAUUGAAUCGUAGGCCCGCA
rnacentral:lncRNA from 1 species